rnacentral:rRNA from 1 species
AGAGUUUGAUCAUGGCUCAGGAUGAACGCUGGCGGCAUGGCUAAGGCAUGCAAGUCGAAUGCUAGUUUACUAGCAUGGCAAACGGGAGAGUAACACAUUGGUAAUUUACCCCGAGGAUGAGAAUAACCCGGAGAAAUCCGGAAUAAUACUCAAUAAUAGUGGGGGGACAAAAGUCAUUCCCACUUAAAGCUCCGACGCCUCGGGAGAAGCCUAUGGUCUAUCAGCUUGUUGGUGAGGGUAAAAGCCCACCAAGGCUAUGACGGAUAGCGGGUGUGAGAGCAUGACCCGUCUCACUGGGACUGAGACACUGCCCAGACUCCUACGGGAGGCUGCAGUCACGAAUCUUCCUCAAUGGCCGAAAGGCUGAAGGAGCAAUGCCGCGUGUAUGAAGACGCCCUUCGGGGUGUAAAAUACUUUUAUUAGGGACGAAUCAAUGACGGUACCUAAUGAAUAAGGGGCUGCUAACCUCGUGCCAGCAGCAGCGGUAAUACGAGGGCCCCGAGCGUUAUCCGGGUUUAUUGGGCGUAAAGGGUCCGUAGGCGGUCUAUCGCAUCUCCUGUUAAAUCUCCCGACUCAAUCGGGAAACCGCGGGAGAGAUGAAUAGACUAGAGGCCGGAAGAGGCAAGCGGAAUUGCUGGUGUAGGGGUUAAAUCCGUUAAUAUCAGCAGGAACACCAAAAGCGAAGGCAGCUUGCUAGAACGAGCCUGACGCUAAGGGACGAAAGCGUGGGUAGCGAAUGGGAUUAGAUACCCCAGUAGUCCACGCCGU